UUUUUUUUUUCUUUUUUUAGGGCCACACCUAUGGCAUAUGAAAGUUCCCAGACUAGGGGUAGAAUUGGAGCUGCAGCUGCUGGCCACAGCCACACCAGAUCCUCAACCCACUGAGCGAUGCCAGGGAUCAAACUCACAUCCUUAUGGAUUCUAACUGGAUUCUUAACCUGCUGAGCCACAAAGGGAACUCUUGAAUCUGCACUUCUGAUGUGUUCAUGAGUGCCACUGAUACUGCUGGUCUAAGGCCCAUACUUUGAAUAACCAUAACCUUAGAUGUAAAUUUAAUUGCUUACUCCAAAGAGCCAGAAGUUAUUCCAGUCCACUGUAUUGCUAAAUUUUAGAAAUGGAAAUGAUUAAAAGUACUGCCAUUCCUGAGUGAGUUUACUUUGGUAGACUGUCUGAAUAUUGCUGGCUAAGGGAAGUUAAAACAAAUCAUCACAAUAGGAAAAGAGAGGGAACAGUUCCAAUCUUUUUUCCUGUUAUAUAGGAUGAGCAAAAGUCUAAUUGUAAUAUCUAUAGGGUGGAGUCUUUCAGGUACCAGAAUUAUCAUAUAAAAAUGAAAUAUUUUUAAAAAGUCAUAGUGUUCCUAUGAAAAUGGCUUACUCACUUGGCAAGAUCUCACCUUCAAUAAAAUAAAAUAGAGUUUAAAACACUGGCAGAGGAUUUCCCAUUGUGGCUCAUGGGGUUAGGAAUCUGACUUGUAUCGAUGAAGAUGUGGGUUUGAUCUCUGGCUUUGCUUAGUGGGUUAAAGGAUCUGGCAUUGCUGUGAGUUGUGGUGUAGGUUUCAGAGGUGGCUCAGAUCCUGCAUUGCUGUGGCUGUGGCCAGUAGCUGCAGUUCUGAUUUGACUCCUCUUCUGGGAACUUCCACAUGCCUCGGGUGCAGCCCCAAAAAGACCAAAAAAAAAAAAAAAAAAAUGCUGGCAGAACUAGUAGCAGAGACACUUCAGUAGUAAUGAGUUCACCCAGUGCACACAUACCUUGGUUUCUAAAUACCACUUUUUUUUUUUUUUUUUUUUGGUCUUCAGGGCUGCACUUGCAGCAUAUGGAGUUCAAAACAAAAAGCAAUGCAAUGUAUGAUUUCAUCUGAAUCCAGAGAAAAAAAAGUAGAUUAAGUGGCUCCCAGGGGCUGAGGAGAGUGGAGAAUGAGGAGAGACAACUAAAGGGUAUGGGCUUCUUUUCGGCACGAUGAAAUGUUCUGAAAUUAAAUAGCGAUAGUCACACAACUGUCAAUACAGUAAAAACCACUAACUGUACACUCUAAAAGGGUAAAUUUUAUGGUAUGUGAAUUGUGUCUCAAUAAGAAAAGAGGCAAUAUCAAAAAAAAAAAAAAAAAAAAAAAAGAGAGAAAGCAAUGCAAAAUGUUCCUUUCUCAAAAAUGGGGAAUAUUGGAAUGCAUGAGGGCCAAGGGCAUGGUCAAAAUAAAAAAAAAACUGGAUCCCUACACAAACAAACAAACUUAAAUAAUGAAAACACAAAACUAAUUUCAAUAGCCCAAGACUAUUUUUUCUAGAAAAUAGAAAAUGGGUGGCAGGCUGUGUCCAUGGCACGCAGAAAUUCCCAGGCCAGGAAUGGCAACUGCACCACAUCAGUGACAACGCCAGAUCCCUAACCCACUUUGCCACAGGAGAACACCUAGAAAGUAUUUUUCUUUCUUCG
rnacentral:lncRNA from 1 species